CCUGGAAUAACACGAGGAAACUUGUGCUAAUACCGGAUAAGUCUUUACGGAGAAAGCUUUAUGCACCAUUGGAUGAGCCUGCACUUGAUUAGUUUGUUGGUGGGGUAAUGGCCUACCAAGACUGUGAUCAAUAGCUGAUUUGAGAGGAUGAUCAGCCACAUUGGGACUGAGACACGGCCCAAACUCCUACGGGAGGCAGCAGUGGGGAAUCUUGCACAAUGGAGGAAACUCUGAUGCAGCGAUGCCGCGUGAGUGAAGAAGGCCCUUGGGUUGUAAAGCUCUUUCGUCGGG
rnacentral:rRNA from 1 species